GACGAACGCUGGCGGCGUGCUUAACACAUGCAAGUCGAACGGAAAGGCCCUGCUUGCAGGGUUCUCGCGUGGCGAACGGGUGAGUAACACGUGGGUGAUCUGCCCUCCACUUCGGGUUAAGCUUGUGCAACUGGGUCGAAUACCUGCUAGGUACCAUCUUUAGCGUGGUGGUUGGACAGUUUUUUCGGUUCUGGAUGAGUUCGCGGGCUAUCAGCUUGUUGGUGGGGUUAUGGCCUACCAAGGCGGCGUCGGGUAGCCGGACUGCGUGGGUGUACGGCGACAUUGGGACUGAGAUACGGCACAGACACCGACGGGAGGGAGCAGUGGGGAAGAUUGAACAAUGGGCGCAAGCCGGGUGCAGAGAGGCCGCGUGGGGGAAGAAGGCCUUAGGGUUGUAAAAUACAUUCGCAAGGGACGAAGCUUUUUGUGACGGUACCUAGAUAAGAAGCACCGGCUAACUACGUG
rnacentral:rRNA from 1 species